GGAAAAGAAACCAACCGGGAUUGCCUUAGUAACGGCGAGUGAAGCGGCAAAAGCUCAAAUUUGAAAUCUGGUACCUUCGGUGCCCGAGUUGUAAUUUGGAGAGGGCAACUUUGGGGCCGUUCCUUGUCUAUGUUCCUUGGAACAGGACGUCAUAGAGGGUGAGAAUCCCGUGUGGCGAGGAGUGCGGUUCUUUGUAAAGUGCCUUCGAAGAGUCGAGUUGUUUGGGAAUGCAGCUCUAAGUGGGUGGUAAAUUCCAUCUAAAGCUAAAUAUUGGCGAGAGACCGAUAGCGAACAAGUACAGUGAUGGAAAGAUGAAAAGAACUUUGAAAAGAGAGUGAAAAAGUACGUGAAAUUGUUGAAAGGGAAGGGCAUUUGAUCAGACAUGGUGUUUUGUGCCCUCUGCUCCUUGUGGGUAGGGGAAUCUCGCAUUUCACUGGGCCAGCAUCAGUUUUGGUGGCAGGAUAAAUCCAUAGGAAUGUAGCUUGCCUCGGUAAGUAUUAUAGCCUGUGGGAAUACUGCCAGCUGGGACUGAGUGACUGCGACGUAAGUCAAGGAUGCUGGCAUAAUGGUUAUAUGCCGCCCGUC
rnacentral:rRNA from 1 species